GAUGAACGCUGGCGGCGUGCCUAAUACAUGCAAGUCGAGCGAACAGACGAGGAGCUUGCUCCUCUGACGUUAGCGGCGGACGGGUGAGUAACACGUGGAUAACCUACCUAUAAGACUGGGAUAACUUCGGGAAACCGGAGCUAAUACCGGAUAAUAUAUUGAACCGCAUGGUUCAAUAGUGAAAGACGGUUUUGCUGUCACUUAUAGAUGGAUCCGCGCCGCAUUAGCUAGUUGGUAAGGUAACGGCUUACCAAGGCGACGAUGCGUAGCCGACCUGAGAGGGUGAUCGACCACACUGGAACUGAGACACGGUCCAGACUCCUACGGGAGGCAGCAGUAGGGAAUCUUCCGCAAUGGGCGAAAGCCUGACGGAGCAACGCCGCGUGAGUGAUGAAGGUCUUCGGAUCGUAAAACUCUGUUAUUAGGGAAGAACAAAUGUGUAAGUAACUAUGCACGUCUUGACGGUACCUAAUCAGAAAGCCACGGCUAACUACGUG
rnacentral:rRNA from 1 species